rnacentral:lncRNA from 1 species
CAGUGUGGACACAAGAGGAGAGAAGGUUUUAGGAAAUCUCAUCUUCUGUGUUGUCACCAGGAUCUCUCUGGACUCCUCUUAGCUCCUGAAUUCUUGUCAUCUGCAUGGAGAAUUCAGAUGAGACACACAGAACACAGCAUAAGAGACAGACUGUGUAGAGAACAGUGAAAUGCACUCAUGGACAGUGGCUAAAGAGACAGCUGUCUCCUCCAUUUAAGAUACCCAGAAAGACACUGCCUCUCGGCCGAUCAGUCUACAAGGAUUUGGACAACGAUAGGAGCUUCAAGUUUGUUGUUGCUGUGGCUAUUGUUGCUGCUGCUGCUGUUGCUGUUACUGUUGCUCUUGCUGCUGCUACUGCUGCUGCUGCUGCUGUUGCUACUGCUGCUGCUGUUGCUGCUGUUGUUGCUGAUGCUGCUGUUGUUGCUGAUGCUGCUGUUGUUGUUGCUGUUGUGAUGGUCCCCGGUAUGAUCACCCGCAGAGGCCGGGAUGCACAUUGUCUUCCUUCCAUUGUUUGAAGAUUGAGAGGAAAGUAAGGAAGAAGGCCAAAGAUGCUCAAGACUGUUGUCACUCAGAGCUGAACAUCCCGCAGAUAGAUGCAUCCUACAAAGAGCCCUUCCUCCACUGAAUAAGGAUCUCCCCAGCCCUAGGAUAGACUAGACAUCUACCCCUGUCACCAGCGUUUGAUUGCAGCCUCUGCUGGGAUCAGGUCUCCUGCAACUUUCAAUCAAGGGUCAAAAGGUCAAAUGAUCUACUUGUUCCUGAGUGAGCUCCUCACAUCUGUCCACGGAUCAACACACAGUGUAUGCUCUGCACCGUCUCCACUCAGAAGUGCUCACUAAUGCAUCAAGCCUCAGUUGCACCUUAACUACCUUCCUCCCUGACAACGUAACGAGUUGCUCUCUUCCC